rnacentral:hammerhead_ribozyme from 1 species
AUCCAGUUGACGAGUCCUAAAUAGGACGAAACAUGCGUCCUGAU